CCUUGGACAGCAUGUCGAGGCGCUGGUUGAUUUUGGCGAUGAUGGAGUCGGAGUUGUCGCUGGGAGUGGGAUCGCUGCUGUAGGAGGCGAUGCCGACGUCGCUGAGGGGCAGCUCAGGGGCUUUGGGGGUGUCCCAGGAGCUGGGGGUGGCGGUGGGGCCGUAGCUGUAGGUGGCGGCGGUGCUGGAGGCCGUGCUUGGGGCGCUGUAGUAGUUAUAACCUUCGUAGCCUUGUGCAGCC
rnacentral:lncRNA from 1 species